CAGGCGCGAAAACUUUACAAUGCGGGCAACCGUAAUAAGGGAACCUCGAGUGCCUGUAAACGCAGGCUGUUCAGGUGUUUAAAACGCACCUGGAGAAAGGGCCGGGCAAGACCGGUGCCAGCCGCCGCGGUAAUACCGGCGGCUCGAGUGGUGGCCGCUUUUAUUGGGCUUAAAGCGUUCGUAGCUGGGUUGUUAAGUCUCUUGGGAAAUCUGGCGGCUUAACCGUCAGGCGUCUAAGGGAUACCGGCAAUCUUGGAACCGGGAGAGGUGAGGGGUACUUCGGGGGUAGGGGUGAAAUCCUGUAAUCCUCGAGGGACCACCUGUGGCGAAGGCGCCUCACCAGAACGGCUUCGACAGUGAGGGACGAAAGCUGGGGGAGCAAACCGGAUUAGAUACCCGGGUAGUCCCAGCCGUAAACGAUGCGCGUUAGGUGUAUCGGUGACCACGAGUUACCGAGGUGCCGAAGGGAAACCGUGAAACGCGCCGCCUGGGAAGUACGGUCGCAAGGCUGAAACUUAAAGGAAUUGGCGGGGGAGCACCACAACGGGUGGAGCUUGCGGUUUAAUUGGACUCAACGCCGGGAAGCUCACCGGAUAAGACAGCUGAAUGAUUGCCGGGCUGAAGACUCUGCAUGACUAGCUGAGAGGAGGUGCAUGGCCGUCGUCAGUUCGUACUGUGAAGCAU
rnacentral:rRNA from 1 species